GACGAACGCUGGCGGCGUGCCUAACACAUGCAAGUCGAGCGAAUGAAGUUCCUUCGGGGAUGGAUUUAGCGGCGGACGGGUGAGUAACACGUGGGCAACCUGCCUCAUAGAGGGGAAUAGCCUUCCGAAAGGGAGAUUAAUACCGCAUAAGAUUGUAGUAUCGCAUGAUACAGCAAUUAAAGGAGCAAUCCGCUAUGAGAUGGGCCCGCGGCGCAUUAGCUAGUUGGUGAGGUAACGGCUCACCAAGGCGACGAUGCGUAGCCGACCUGAGAGGGUGAUCGGCCACAUUGGGACUGAGACACGGCCCAGACUCCUACGGGAGGCAGCAGUGGGGAAUAUUGCACAAUGGGGGAAACCCUGAUGCAGCAACGCCGCGUGAGUGAUGACGGCCUUCGGGUUGUAAAGCUCUGUCUUCAGGGACGAUAAUGACGGUACCUGAGGAG
rnacentral:rRNA from 1 species